rnacentral:lncRNA from 1 species
UUUUAAAAAGGGCCGGGAUGUAGCUCAUUGAUAGAGUACCCCUGGGUUCAGUCCCCAUUACCAUGCCCCCCAAAAAAGAUAAAUCAUCAAGCUAGCAUUAAAUGAGAGAACUUUUUGACAUUCUGAGGGGUUAAAACAUUGAAAAUAUUCUCUUGACCUGAUUCAGUGUUAGUUAAUGCAUAUCUUUAUACUAUCUAAAAUCAUGUCCUACAAACAAGUCUCAAACUUGGAGAAAUGCGCAUUAAGGCACAGUAUCCACCAUUAUUAUUACUUUGGGUCUGUCUUUAAUCAACAAAAUUUGUUGAAGAUCUAUUAUGUUUUAGGCACAGGGGAUAAGCAAUGAAAAAAAGAAGUCACUAAGUGUCUGAACUCCUAGAGCUUAUAUUCUAAUGAAAAAGACAGUACAGUAAACAUGUAUGUUUCUGUGAUAAAGUUUUAAGGAGGAAAACUAAGCAAGGUCAUGAUGGAGGUAGAGUGCUGGAGAGAUGGACAAGAAUGCCAGUUUUCUGACAGGAGGUCAGCAAAAGCCUUUUUGAUAAGUUGACAAAGUUAAGCCUGAAAGAAAUGAGAGAGUGAACCAUUUAGAUAUCUGGGAGAAGAAUACUCCAGGCCAAGGGAAGCAACAUGCUCUACAAAGUCUAGUAAUAAGCCAAGAGGUCAAUAAGUCUGGGAAGGUAGAAGAUGAAAUGAAGUGAGUACCUCAGAUAGGCCAAUGUUUUACAAAUUAUCACAAUGCUUUACAAUUAAAAAGGAUCACUCUGGCUCCUGCCUAAAGAAUGGCUUGAGACUGGGUUUUAAACAGUUGUUAGGCUAUUUCAGUGGUCCAAAUGAGAAAUGAUGAUGGCUUAAACUAGAAUAUUAGGGCUGGGUGUGAUGAAAAUUGUCAAAUGCU